rnacentral:rRNA from 1 species
AGAGUUUGAUCAUGGCUCAGAUUGAACGCUGGCGGCAGGCCUAACACAUGCAAGUCGAGCGGUAGCACAGAGAGCUUGCUCUCGGGUGACGAGCGGCGGACGGGUGAGUAAUGUCUGGGAAACUGCCUGAUGGAGGGGGAUAACUACUGGAAACGGUAGCUAAUACCGCAUAAUGUCGCAAGACCAAAGUGGGGGACCUUCGGGCCUCAUGCCAUCAGAUGUGCCCAGAUGGGAUUAGCUUGUAGGUGGGGUAACGGCUCACCUAGGCGACGAUCCCUAGCUGGUCUGAGAGGAUGACCAGCCACACUGGAACUGAGACACGGUCCAGACUCCUACGGGAGGCAGCAGUGGGGAAUAUUGCACAAUGGGCGCAAGCCUGAUGCAGCCAUGCCGCGUGUGUGAAGAAGGCCUUCGGGUUGUAAAGCACUUUCAGCGGGGAGGAAGGCGAUAAGGUUAAUAACCUUGUCGAUUGACGUUACCCGCAGAAGAAGCACCGGCUAACUCCGUGCCAGCAGCCGCGGUAAUACGGAGGGUGCAAGCGUUAAUCGGAAUUACUGGGCGUAAAGCGCACGCAGGCGGUCUGUCAAGUCGGAUGUGAAAUCCCCGGGCUCAACCUGGGAACUGCAUUCGAAACUGGCAGGCUAGAGUCUUGUAGAGGGGGGUAGAAUUCCAGGUGUAGCGGUGAAAUGCGUAGAGAUCUGGAGGAAUACCGGUGGCGAAGGCGGCCCCCUGGACAAAGACUGACGCUCAGGUGCGAAAGCGUGGGGAGCAAACAGGAUUAGAUACCCUGGUAGUCCACGCCGUAAACGAUGUCGAUUUGGAGGUUGUGCCCUUGAGGCGUGGCUUCCGGAGCUAACGCGUUAAAUCGACCGCCUGGGGAGUACGGCCGCAAGGUUAAAACUCAAAUGAAUUGACGGGGGCCCGCACAAGCGGUGGAGCAUGUGGUUUAAUUCGAUGCAACGCGAAGAACCUUACCUGGUCUUGACAUCCACAGAACUUUCCAGAGAUGGAUUGGUGCCUUCGGGAACUGUGAGACAGGUGCUGCAUGGCUGUCGUCAGCUCGUGUUGUGAAAUGUUGGGUUAAGUCCCGCAACGAGCGCAACCCUUAUCCUUUGUUGCCAGCGGUUCGGCCGGGAACUCAAAGGAGACUGCCAGUGAUAAACUGGAGGAAGGUGGGGAUGACGUCAAGUCAUCAUGGCCCUUACGACCAGGGCUACACACGUGCUACAAUGGCAUAUACAAAGAGAAGCGACCUCGCGAGAGCAAGCGGACCUCAUAAAGUAUGUCGUAGUCCGGAUUGGAGUCUGCAACUCGACUCCAUGAAGUCGGAAUCGCUAGUAAUCGUAGAUCAGAAUGCUACGGUGAAUACGUUCCCGGGCCUUGUACACACCGCCCGUCACACCAUGGGAGUGGGUUGCAAAAGAAGUAGGUAGCUUAACCUUCGGGAGGGCGCUUACCACUUUGUGAUUCAUGACUGGGGUGAAGUCGUAACAAGGUAACCGUAGGGGAACCUGCGGUUGGAUCACCU